GACGAACGCUGGCGGCGUGCUUAACACGUGCAAGUCGAACGGAAAGGCCCUGCUUUUGUGGGGUGCUCGAGUGGCGAACGGGUGAGUAACACGUGAGUAACCUGCCCUUGACUUUGGGAUAACUUCAGGAAACUGGGGCUAAUACCGGAUAGGAGCUCCUGCUGCAUGGUGGGGGUUGGAAAGUUUCGGCGGUUGGGGAUGGACUCGCGGCUUAUCAGCUUGUUGGUGGGGUAGUGGCUUACCAAGGCUUUGACGGGUAGCCGGCCUGAGAGGGUGACCGGCCACAUUGGGACUGAGAUACGGCCUAGACUCCUACGGGAGGCAGCAGUGGGGAAUAUUGCACAAUGGGCGGAAGCCUGAUGCAGCAACGCCGCGUGCGGGAUGACGGCCUUCGGGUUGUAAACCGCUUUCGCCUGUGACGAAGCGUGAGUGACGGUAAUGGGUAAAGAAGCACCGGCUAACUACGUG
rnacentral:rRNA from 1 species